UGCCAGCAGCCGCGGUAACACGAACUGCGCAAACGUUAUUCGGAAUUAUUGGGCGUAAAGAGCAUGUAGGCGGACUGUUAAGUCUGAUGUGAAAGCCCGGGGCUCAACCCCGGAAGUGCAUUGGAUACUGGCAGUCUUGAGUAUGGGAGAGGAAAGUGGAAUUCCGAGUGUAGGAGUGAAAUCCGUAGAUAUUCGGAGGAACACCAGUGGCGAAGGCGGCUUUCUGGACCAAUACUGACGCUGAGACGCGAAAGCGUGGGGAGCAAACAGGAUUAGAUA
rnacentral:rRNA from 1 species